rnacentral:misc_RNA from 1 species
GAUGAAGAACGUAGCAAAAUGCGAUAAGUAAUGUGAAUUGCAGAAUUCAGUGAAUCAUCGAAUCUUUGAACGCACAUUGCGCCCGCUGGUAUUCCGGCGGGCAUGCCUGUUCGAGCGUCAUUUCAACCCUCAAGCCCCCGGGUUUGGUGUUGGGGAUCGGCUCUGCCCUUCUGGGCGGUGCCGCCCCCGAAAUACAUUGGCGGUCUCGCUGCAGCCUCCAUUGCGUAGUAGCUAACACCUCGCAACUGGAACGCGGCGCGGCCAUGCCGUAAAACCCCAACUUCUGAAUGUUGACCUCGGAUCAGGUAGGAAUACCCGCUGAACUUAAGCAUAUCAAUACGGAGGA